GUCUGGCUAGCUCAGCCGGUAGCGCAUGAGACUCUUAAUCUCAGGGGGAUGUGAGUUUGAGCCCCACGUCAGGUG